GCGACCGGCGCACGGGUGAGUAACACGUAUCCAACCUGCCGAUAACUCGGGGAUAGCCUUUCGAAAGAAAGAUUAAUAUCCGAUAGCAUAUUGAGAUCGCAUGAUUUUGAUAUUAAAGAAUUUCGGUUAUCGAUGGGGAUGCGUUCCAUUAGUUUGUUGGCGGGGUAACGGCCCACCAAGACUACGAUGGAUAGGGGUUCUGAGAGGAAGGUCCCCCACAUUGGAACUGAGACACGGUCCAA
rnacentral:rRNA from 1 species